AACGAACGCUGGCGGCAGGCUUAACACAUGCAAGUCGAACGCUCCGCAAGGAGAGUGGCAGACGGGUGAGUAACACGUGGGAACGUACCCUUUACUACGGAACAACUCCGGGAAACUGGAGCUAAUACCGUAUGUGCCCUUCGGGGGAAAGAUUUAUCGGUAAAGGAUCGGCCCGCGUUGGAUUAGCUAGUUGGUGGGGUAAAGGCCUAUCAAGGCGACGAUCCAUAGCUGGUCUGAGAGGAUGAUCAGCCACAUUGGGACUGAGACACGGCCCAAACUCCUACGGGAGGCAGCAGUGGGGAAUAUUGGACAAUGGGCGCAAGCCUGAUCCAGCCAUGCCGCGUGUGUGAUGAAGGCCUUAGGGUUGUAAAGCACUUUCACCGGAGAAGAUAAUGACGGUAUCCGGAGAAGAAGCCCCGGCUAACUUCGUGCCAGCAGCCGCAGUAAAAC
rnacentral:rRNA from 1 species